ACACCACUGAGUGACUUUCACUUUCACUUAUUAUAAAUACCAACCUCGAGGGAUUGUUGUGAGGAGUAAAUGAGUUUAUAUAUGGAGCUCAUCCAACCAUCUUGCGCAUAUGAGAGUUGCUCACACCAUAGGCUCCCAAUGGAGAGGAACUUGUGUGCCCAGGACACAUUGGAGGGAAUUGGGGAAAGAGAUGGAUUUAGUGGUGAGCAAAGCAACCUGAGGCCGGCUUAUUGGAAAAGAGCCUGAUGCUGGGGAAGAUUGAAGUCAGGAGGAGAAGGGGACGACAGAGGAUGAGAUGG